rnacentral:rRNA from 1 species
AGAACGAACGCUGGCGGCAGGCCUCAAACAUGCAAGUCUAGGGGGUGCAGCAAUGCAUCACCGGCGGACGGGUGCGUAACACGUGGGAAUAUACCUUUUGGUUCGGAACAACGCAGGGAAACUUGCGCUAAUACCGAAUGUGCCCUUACGGGGAAAGAUUUAUCGCCAAAGGAUUAGCCCGCGUCCGAUUAGCUAGUUGGUGAGGUAAUGGCUCACCAAGGCUCCGAUCGGUAGCUGUUCUGAGAGGAAGAUCAGCCACACUGGGACUGAGACACGGCCCAGACUCCUACGGGAGGCAGCAGUUGGGAAUCUUGGACAAUGGGGGAAACCCUGAUCCAGCCAUGCCGCGUGAGUGAUGAAGGCCUUCGGGUUGUAAAACUCUUUCGACGGGGACGAUAAUGACGGUACCGUAGAAGAAGCUCCGGCUAACUUCGCGCCAGCAGCCGC